UUAACUCGUUCCAAAGUUUCGGCAUUGGGAGACGAAGGUUUAACGAAUGCUGUGAGUUUGGUGACUUGUUUGAGCAUACCGAGGGGACAGGAUUUUUCUGCCAUUGAUCUAGAAAGAAUUUCAGAAUGGUGUAUGGCUUGAAGCAGUUUAAAAUAUUUCUUGGUCAAGACUAAAUCUAUCGGAACGUCUCUAAUUCGACCUUCUACUCUAUUUUGGUUUUUUGAGGUCUGAGCUAUCCUUUUCUCACCUGGGAAUACUGUGUCCACCAGUGGUGAAAAACGAUUGAAGAGGGGAAGAGACAUGAUUUAAAAGUUCUCAACUAAGGGACAAAAACAUAAAACCAGAGAGUUCUACCAUUUUGGAGACAGCACAGUGAGUCCUGAUGAGGUUGUGUGAAGGGAAACCAAUCCAGUUCUCUUUGGAGAAUCUUCAGUGUGCACACCCUUUGUUGUAAAUUUCCAAAAGUGAUUAUAAAAGAGAUCCACACAUA